CUAAAAUUCUAGCCCAAUUAAAAUAUUCUAACAGUUUAGUAAAGAAGAUUAAAAAACUUUUAAGAGCUAUAAACUUGUACCGCAAGGGAAAAAUGAAAUAAAAAUGAAAUAAACAUUAAGCAGAAAAAAGUAAAGAUUAAUUCUUGUUCCUUUCGCAUCAUGAUUUAGCUAGUCUAACUAGGCAAAAAGAUUUAAAGUCUAACCCCCCGAAACUAGGUGAGCUAAUUUAAGGCUGCUUAUUGAGCUAACCCGUCUAUGUUGCAAAAUAGUGGGAAGACCUUAAAAUAGGGGUGACAAACCUACCGAACUUAGUAAUAGCUGGUUUCUCAAGAAAAGAAUUUAAGUUCAACCUAAAGAAAAACUUUAGAGCAAUUCAAACGAGGUACAGCCCGUUUGAAACAGGAUACAACCUUCAUUAACGGGUAAUAAUUGAUAUCACCUUCAAGUAGGCCUAAUAGCAGCCAUCUUUUAAAAAGCGUCAAAGCUUAAAAUUCUAAACUUUUUAUUCACCCCUUUUACCAUACUGAGAACUUCUAUAACCUUAUAGAACCUUUAAUGCUAAAACUAAUAACAAGAGAAAGACCCUCUCCUAAACGCAAGCAUAAGCCAGCAAGUACUUACCACUGGCAAUUAACAAAAAGUAGUAACUUACCACAAGAAAAUUCUUCUUACACCCUUGUUAACCUUACACUAGAACGUUACAGGAAAGAUUGAAAGAAAAAGAAGGAACUCGGCAAACAAUAAAUCCCGCCUGUUUACCAAAAACAUCGCCUCUUGGUAAGAGGUCCAGCCUGCCCAGUGACCCUGUUCAACGGCCGCGGUAUCCUAACCGUGCAAAGGUAGCGUAAUCACUUGUUUUCUAAAUAAAGACUAGUAUGAAAGGCACCACGAGGAAUAAGCUGUCUCCUUUUUCUAAUCAGUGAAUCUAAUCUCCCCGUGAAGAAGCGGGGAUUUAAAUAUAAGACGAGAAGACCCUGUGGAGCUUAAGACUUUAUAGCACCUACCGUAUUUUAACUACACGUCUUUGGUUGGGGUGACCGCGGAGAAAAACUAACCCUCCACAAUGAAUCCCUAAGCAGUGAGCUACAGCUUUAUGUAUCAAAAAAUUGACAUGUUGACCCAAUAAGUUGAUCAAUGAACCAAGUUACCCCAGGGAUAACAGCACAAUCCGCUUUGAGAGCUCAUAUCGACAAGCGGGCUUAUGACCUCGAUGUUGGAUCGGGGUAUCCCAGUGGUGUAGCCGCUACUAAAGGUUUGUUUGUUCAACAAUUAAAACCCCACGUGAUCUGAGUUCAGACCGGAGUAAUCCAGGUCAGUUUCUAUCUAUAAGACGCUAAUUUCAGUACGAAAGGACCAAAAUAGCAUGGCCAAUGCUCAUGCAAGCCAUACUUAAUAAUUUUAGACCCUCAAAAAAUGUUUAAUUC
rnacentral:rRNA from 1 species